UUUUCGAAUGAUGAAAAACAACAAUUUGAUAUGCUCUCGAGUCCUGAGCGCACAUGUUGAACUCUAAACUUAGCUCGGUUGAGCGGGAGUUUUAUAUGAAAUUAAAUUAAGUAGCUGAAGAAAAAAAUUCU
rnacentral:snoRNA from 1 species